rnacentral:Y_RNA from 1 species
GGCUGGUCCAGAGGUAGUGGGCUAUCUCAAUUGAUCGUUCAGUCGGUUACAGAUUGAACUCCUGUUCUAUACUCUCCCUCCUUCUCACUACUGCACUCAAUUAGAGA